UAGGCAAAGGUAAACGAUUCGAGAUAUACUGUAAACGUUGCUCGAAAUGAAAUAAUCGUCAAAGGUUGGAAUAUCCAUAUUUGAACAAGUAUGGUUGGUGUAGCGGAUUGUCUUACUGUACGUUAUUCGAUAAACAUUGAAUAGCUUUUUUUUUUUAACUGAGGUUACGCAAAGAAACAAUUUAAUGGAAAGUAGUUCAUUUUAAAUACACUCAAUUCUCGUUUCUUUUUAACAGCUCCGUCCAUGGCAGAUUAGCGCCUAU